AUUGAACGCUGGCGGCAGGCCUAACACAUGCAAGUCGAACGAGUGGCGGACGGGUGAGUAAUGUCUGGGAAACUGCCUGAUGGAGGGGGAUAACUACUGGAAACGGUAGCUAAUACCGCAUAACAUCAGAUGUGCCCAGAUGGGAUUAGCUGGUUGGUGGGGUAACGGCUCACCAAGGCGACGAUCCCUAGAUGGUCUGAGAGGAUGACCAGCCACACUGUAACUUUGACAUGUUCCAGACUCCUACGGGCGUCAGCAGUGGGGAAUAUUGCACAAUGGGCGCAAGACUGAUGCAGCCAUGCCGCGUGUAUGAAGAAGGCCUUCGGGUUGUAAAGUACUUUCAGCGGGGAGGCGUUACCCGCAGAAGAAGCACCGGCUAACUCCGUGCCAGCCGCCGCGGUAAUAC
rnacentral:rRNA from 1 species